UCAGUGUAGAUAAUGUAGAAAUAGCAUUUUUAUGAUUUUUUUCCACCUUUUCUUUCUUUUUUUUUCAUUCUUCAUGCAUAUAUGUCAUCUUUGCCACUAUAUUUUAUUUUCUCUAUCUUAUGUCUAGAAGUUUAUUGGUUUUUCUUUCCCUUCCUUCCCUCUUUUAUUAAUGUAUAUAAUGUAGAAAUGAUAUUCCUGUGAUUUUUUGCAAUGUUUUUUCUUUCUUUCUCCAUGCAUAUGUAUCAUCUUUGCCACCAUGUAAUUUAAUUUUUUUCUCCAUUCUUAUCUCAUGUCUACAAGUCUCUUGGAUUUCUUUUCCGUUUUUCUCUCUCUCUCUUUUUUACAAUUACAAUAUCAAAAUCCCCUCUAUUCCACUAUUUUUUUUCUACAUUUGAAAUUAGAUUUUUUUAAUCUUAAAAAACAACCGCAACCACUAUCAUUACCACCAACUCUCUCCCUUUAUAUUUUUUUUUCCUCUCUUUUUUGCCAUUCAAAAUGAUGUAGGGUGAGUGAUGGGUUGAGAUUAAUAUUGAUUGAUAGAUCAGUUUUUAAAUUUCUGAUCUCUCUCUCUAUUUUUUUUUUUCUGAUUUGUUUUUUGCUUUUGGAGUGUGGAUUUUGUCACAAGCGUUUGUUGAAUUAGGAAAUGCCAGGUGUUGAAAUUGGGAGAGAGGGAAAGCUGCUAUUAAAGAAAUGGGCAGAGCUUGAAGAAGUCGAUAGUUGUUUAUUUUUUAUAACAAUACGCAUCAUUUGGUUUUGUUAUUUCAACUGAUAGUCAUUUGCUUCCAUGUUUGAUUCUUAGAUCUUAUUCGUUGUUUGUACCAUUUGGAUCUUGCUUGAUCAACCUUUUAGAUAUGUGCGUAUGCUUUUUUCAAUCUUCAGUUGCUCUUCUUCCUCCCAUCGAGGACUGCUUAUUUUCAGAUGAUCAAGGAGGCUAUAUCGGCUUUGAAUGAGAAAAUAGGUGUAGUCUAUAUGUAAUAGCAGAGUACAUGGAAAAGAAGCACAAAACAGUUCUCCUAGCAAAUUUCAAGAAAAUUUUAGGCCGAAGAGGUCUACAGCAAUAGGGAGGUUGAUCAAGACUAGGGCAUUGCAUGCACCAACAUGCUGGUCUUUGGGCUAGUCAAAAUGGUUAGGUUUCCCAACCUAGAUUUUUUCUAGCCUUUUGGGCUUUGACCAAAUGGCUGGAUUUGCAUCCCGACACCAACCUAGUUUACCCAAUACACCUCUUCAUGAAUUUUUCCAGACGUCUUAGAGCUGCACAUACAAACUUUCUAUGUAUACGCUUUGUUCUACGCACACAUCUUUUUCUAUGACGAGCUAUAACGUUUUCUAAGCCAA